rnacentral:rRNA from 1 species
UACGUAGGGCGCAAGCGUUAUCCGGAAUUAUUGGGCGUAAAGAGCUCGUAGGCGGUUGUCGCGUCUGCCGUGAAAGUCCGGGCUCAACUCCGGAUCUGCGGUGGGUACGGGCAGACUAGAGUGAUGUAGGGGAGACUGGAAUUCCUGGUGUAGCGGUGAAAUGCGCAGAUAUCAGGAGGAACACCGGUGGCGAAGGCGGGUCUCGUGGGCCGAUGACUGACGCUGAGGAGCGAAAGCGUGGGGAGCGAACAGG